rnacentral:rRNA from 1 species
AGAGUUUGAUCAUGGCUCAGAAUCAACGCUGGCGGCGCGCUUAACACAUGCAAGUCGCACGAGAAAGGGAGCAAUCCUGAGUAUAGUGGCGCACGGGUGAGUAACACGUGGAUGAUCUACCUCCUUGUGGGGAAUAACCCUGGGAAACCGGGGCUAAUACCGCAUACGUUCGAGAGAAGAAAGCCGAAAGGCGCAGGGAGAGGAGUCCGCGGUCGAUUAGCUAGUUGGCAGGGUAAUGGCCUACCAAGGCGACGAUCGAUAGCCGGCCUGAGAGGGCACACGGCCACACUGGCACUGAAACACGGGCCAGACUCCUACGGGAGGCAGCAGUGGGGAAUCUUGCACAAUGGGGGAAACCCUGAUGCAGCGACGCCGCGUGAACGAUGAAGCCCUUCGGGGUGUAAAGUUCUUUCGACGGGGACGAUAAUGACGGUACCCGGAGAAGAAGCUGCGGCUAACUACGUGCCAGCAGCCGCGGUAAUACGUAGGCAGCAAGCGUUGUUCGGAAUUACUGGGCGUAAAGAGUGCGUAGGCGGUUAACUAAGUUUGGUGUGAAAUCUCCCGGCUUAACUGGGAGGGUGCGCCGAAAACUGGCUAGCUAGAGUGUGGGAGAGGAUAGUGGAAUUCCUGGUGUAGCGGUGAAAUGCGUAGAUAUCAGGAGGAACACCUGCGGUCUAGACGGCUAUCUGGACCAUGACUGACGCUGAGGCACGAAAGCGUGGGUAGCAAACAGGAUUAGAUACCCUGGUAGUCC